rnacentral:lncRNA from 1 species
GGGUGGUCUAUGACGGAAAACACCCCAUUUAAAAUGAAUUGGUAAAAUCAAAAUAGAAAACCAGGAGAAAAAAAAAGAAAAAGGAAACUUGAAAUAAGCCAACCCUAAGAGUUAACAUGAUUACUGAGAUUGUGCUUCAGAUUUGGGUCUGAGCUUCUUAUAGCCAAGCAACGUGAUGGCUGCAGUCCAGCAUCCAUUGUGGACCAUGAGGCAAUCUUGAGAAUGGAAACCAUACAAUACAAUAGUCAAAGAGGAAAGGUUGGAUCGAUCAGUGAAGUUUCACAGAAGUUGUGACAUUUGGGUUGGAUCUUGAAAGAUAAUGGGAGCUUUGAAGGUGAAUGAAAAAAGAAGUGGAAGAACAUUCCUGGUAGAUGGAACAGCAUAUGCCAAAGCACAGAGGUCCACAUUGCCUUUAUGAGCUGUAAUACUCACUGCGAAGGUCUGCAGCUUCACUCCUGAAGCCAGCGAGACCACGAACCCACCGGGAGAAAUGAACAACUCCACACGCGCGGCCUUAAGAGCUGUAACACUCACGGCAAAGGUCCGCAGCUUCACUCCUGAGCUAGCGAGACCACGAACCCACCAGAAGGAAGAAACUCCGAACACAUCCGAACAUCAGAAGGAACAAACUCCAGACGCGCCACCUUAAGAGCUGUAACACUCACCGCGAGGGUCCGCGGCUUCAUUCUUGAAGUCAGUGAGACCAAAAACCCACCAAUUCCGGACACAGUAUUAGCCGACUUUCCCAUUUUCCCCCAGUUUCAUGAAUAUGAAGUGGAUGGUACAUCACUGUAAUUUACUCUUUCCUAGAAUUUUACCUUUUCCCUGAAUUUUACUUAUUCAAGGCUUUUAAAAUUCUCUAAACCAGUAUUGUUCAAUAGAACUUUCUUGCCAGGGUGGAAAUGUUCUCCCUUUGAUGGGUUUCUUUCCACUUUAGUGAGUCCUCUAAACUGCCAUCCAUUUUCCUACAAAGGAAAUCUGAUCAUGUCAACUAAACUUUAAAAUGUGACAAAACUGGAAAAAGUUUAGAUUAUCUGUGGUUUAUUUAUUGCCUACAGGCUGCACCAAAUUAUAAAGCUUGGACCACAAGGGUUUUAUAUCCAGCUCUGCUCUGUAUUUCCACCUUUAUCUCCAGGCUCUGAAUCCCACAUGCUCUGUGCUGAACUUCUUACUCAAAAAACACCAUAUCCCAGCUCUCUGAACCUUGUACUUGCAGGCCUCUCUCCUUGGUUUGCAUUUUUUCUUCCCUCACUUGCUACUCAUGCUUCUUUCCUAGCAUGCCUCCUCUACCAGAAUGAGCUUCAUGGGGAUGAAAGACUUUUCUUAUUCAUUUUUGUAUCCCUAGUAUCCACCCUGGUGCAAGCAAAAUAGCUGGGGUGCAAUAUUUGUUGAACGCGUGCAUGAAUGAGUGAGCGAAGUGUACUACCAAAAAAAAUGGCUGAAGGAGAAAAAUAUAGAAUACAGUAAAUAACUCUAAAACAACAGCCUUCUAUCAACCAUAGGCUAUAGGUAAUUCAAAAUAGGUAAUUCUUAUAUUAAACUGUAUUCUUUUCCACUGACCUUUUAAUUUAUUAUGGGUUAGUAUUAUUCCUCCUAGUUAACAAAGAAAAACUUUCCCAAAACCUGUCACUGAAGAAUGCUUCAGCUACAAGAAGCAGAGAAACAAAAUCAAAAGAACAAGCACGUAAAACCUGAUGACCAGUAGCUUAAACAAACAUUUUUUUUUUUUCCAAUUCAUAAGAAGCCUGAGGAGACUGCAACUGGGACAGACUGUGGCAUCUCUGCUAAGCUCUGACCUUUUCCUUCCUGUCACAGAGCUGCUGCUGCUCCUGACAGAUCCAUAUUGAAUGAAGAGGAGAAAGAAGGAACAAUGCCAGCUUGACUAUCCCUUAUGAAAGCAAAAAUGUUCCCACAACACCCCAUCACAGCAGACUUCUUAUAAUUUUAUUGGCCAAAAUUGGGUAAAUGGCCACUCCUAGCAUCCAAGGAGGUACAGAUGACCUUCACAGUUAUGAGCCAAUGAAUGGGACGCAUUGCCAGCACAAGGCAAAGAGGGUUUUGUUAGUGAGGAAGAAAGGCUAAUAGUGGAUAGUUAGCAAAGCAUCUUCCAUAAAACAAGACCCAGCAUUUAAAACGUUAAAACCAAAUAUCUGGUCUAAUCUCAUGUUUUAGCCACUCCCAUUCCACCUCCCAGAAGGCAUAGAGGCCUGAAGACUUAAAAUGUCCCAAGAUGUACUAUAGGACUUUCGGGCUUUUGACUUGCAGACCCUGUUUCCCUUUAACAAGAAGAAAAAAAAAAAUAGGGGGUGGGGGAACUAAAAAUAGGCAUAGUGAAAAGGAGGAAUUAUAAAAUUGGAUUCAAGAAGUUGCCUCUAUACCAGGGCUGCUACUUCAGAUUGCUUGAAUUGGGUCCUUCUUACUGUGACCCACUGCUCACAGAACUGGACAUUCAGCGUUUACCUUUCUAAGACAUCACAGUGCACACAAAUCAAGGAGACAGACAGCAAUGCUGCAGCAGGGCAGGAGGAACAUGGAAUUAGGCUGAAGGGUAAACAUCAGGGUUCACCAUCGAUCUAUCUAUUUAUUUCAAGUGCCGUGACUGGAUCCCUGAAUGCAAAAUAUUUGGGUCAGAUCCUGGAGUAAAUAAGGCAUUAAUUGGCAGCAGCUUAGAUGACUAAAGUGGAGAGAAAUGUAUGAAAGGUAGAUUAUAAAUACACUAUAUCCUUUUUGUAUGUUGCUGACAGUGCUGGCAAGGUAAUACAAUUUUAGGAUAAUGAAAAGGGAUAAAAUAAGAACAUUAUUUCUUGAUAAUUUCCAAGAAGAUAUGAACCACUUGUUGUAUAUAUGUCCUAUAUGCCUCACGUGAACUUCCUACCUUUUCAGUUUCUCCAAAUUUUAUCUCCUUUUUAAGUCUCUGCAAUUUACUACUACAACUCAUUUGUUCAUUCAUCUUUUAACAAGUAACUCAAGUUCCAUUUGAGCAAGUUCCUAGCACCAUAAACAAACCAACUCUGGAGAGUGAAUUUGGAAGAAUGGAGGACACUGUCUGCUGGAUAAAUAGUGUUACGGACUGCAUGUUUGUAAUCUCCCAAAAUUCAUAUGUUGAAACUUUAGCCCCCAGAGGAAUGGUAGUAAGACAUGGUGUCUUUGGCAGGUAAUUAGGUUUAAAUGAGAUCAUGAAGGUGGAGUCCUCAUAAUAGGAUUAGUAUACUUAUAAGGAGAGAAACAGACUAGCACUUGCAAUCUCUGCCAUGUGAGGACACAGCAAAAAUACGUCUGUCUGCAAACCAGGAAGAAGGGACUCACCAAGAACCCAACCAUGAAGCACCCUGAUCUUGAACUUCCAGCCUCUAGAACUGUGAAAAGUAAAUAUUUGUUGUUUAAGCCACCCAGUCUAUGGUAUUUCUGUUAUAGCAGCCCUGAUUGACUAAAAUAAAUAGGGAUUUUUAAAAAAUGGCUACAUUUGCUUAUGAAUGAAUUGAUAAUUACUUUCCCUCCA